rnacentral:lncRNA from 1 species
UUGUGAUGCCCUCACAUGGUGGAGGGUUAUUCUAGCUUCUAAGGACUGAAUGUUGUCCACAAGAGUGUCUCAUCAGGUCAUAAAUUGGUGUUUGAAAACUGAAAGAACUGAGGACUACAUAUGGUAAUUCAGUCCUGUGAUCUUGAUGCCCUGGAUGUGGAAGCAGAGGAUCAAGAGGAAUCAAGGCCUGGGGCUGGGCAGUGAGCACACUGCUGAAGAGCAGUGGUUGCCCUUUCAGAAGAUGAGGCUUCAAUUGCCCGCCCCUACAUGUGCAUCUGGGGGCGGUGUUGUAGCCAUUGACAACAAAAUAGAACAAGCAAUGGAUCUGGUGAAAAGCCAUUUGAUGUAUGCAGUAAGAGAAGAAGUGGAAGUUCUAAAGGAGCAGAUAAAAGAAUUAGUGGAAAGAAACUCUUUACUUGAACGAGAAAAUGCACUGUUAAAAUCUCUUUCAAACAAUGAUCAGUUGUCCCAACUCCCAGCCCAACAGGCCAACCCUGGUAGCACUUCUCAACAACAAGCAAUGAUAGCACAGCCUCCUCAGCCAACGCAACCUCCACAGCAGCCGAAUGUCUCCUCAGCAUAAAGCUUUCCUAAGCCUCGCUAAGGAAAAACUGAAAGCAAUCUUUCCUUGUGUGCCACUGGUGUUCUUUCCACUUUAUAGAAAGCAAGUAGCCAUGCUUCGGCUGUGUGCUUGGCCUUUUCAGUAUUAGACAAUCGUUCUACAGGAGCUUUCCCUCUCUAAGAUGUCAUGCAGCACUG